rnacentral:tRNA from 1 species
GGAAGCGUGCCCGAAAGUUAGGGAUCUCCUUGAUAAGGAGAAUCACAGGGGCUAAAAUCCCCUCACUUCC